UGUUUAUUUACACUCGUUUGUUGUUGUCAACAUUCGUUUACCUUCCGUUGCCAGCGCUUCACGGUAUAACUAAUAUUGACCAUCAUUUUAGAUACAUAGAAAUUAAAAUAUACAUUUUUCUAAAUAUUUGUACAUUUUUUAUUUUUGUCAACAAUGCGUCUUUGUUAUCGUUGCUAUUUAUAUUUUUGUAAACAAUCAAGAUACCGGAUCUUCGAUAUACUUUUUUAAAUACUAAGCAGUUAAAAAAAUCCUCUUAAUAUAUUGGCGUAGGAUUAACUUAUAAAAAAAAAAAACUCAAACAAUCAUAACUCUGCAAGACUUGUAAUAAUUUUAGCUUUUCAGCACUCAGUGUUUUUUGCACAUGUAAUGGCGUCUAACGGUCGCGUGCAUAUCCUAGUAAUUACCCUAUUAUUUAAAACGUGUCUACUGAAGAUUUAUUUUGAGAACUGUACAAGCUAUUACAUGAAUACACUAAGAGUAUUAAUUGUGUUUUAUGGAAAUUCCGAAUCAUUAUUUCGCUUUCAAUCAACCGAUUUUGUGUGGCUGCAAUAUUAACGCUCAACUGUUUACUCACGUUAUUUUCCAUAUUUUUACUAACUACGCGAUUCGCGAAGUCUCUGUAGGAUACGUAAUAUUAUUUGGUGAGUUCGUAGCGCACUAUAAUGUGUGGUACACAACAGAAAGUAUUAUGCAAUAUACAGUUACCGAACAUAACUCAGGCACGGAGAGACUUUGAUAUUAUAAUAAAUAAUAUGUGGCUUACAUGAACAGACAAACUUGAUCUUGAAUGAUCUUUAUUUCCCAUACUUUUUUCUUCAGUAAUAUUGAAAAUAGUCAAUAAA